UUAUCACCAUAGUCUCCAUCCUCUUCCUCCACCUUCACCUUCGUCUUCUCGCAGAGCUGCUGCUCACAGGUGCCGCCCGCAAGGGAUUCUGGGUGAUCAACCCUCUGCUCCUCUGAAUGGAAACAAAAGGAAACAUGAACUCGUCUCCUAGGCGACGGCUCCUGUCCAACAUCUGGUUCGUGUUUCAUGUUCUCAGUCGGUCACCAGGACAACCACCGGGAGGACCACCGACCGGCUGUCCGGAGAGACAACCGCUGACAACAUGCUAACAUGCUAACAAACAUCCGUUUGUUUACUUCCGGGAAACACCUUCACAAUAAAACGAUGACCGACGUG